CCGCACGCGCGCGCUCCUGAUGAUUCACGAGUUUACAACCUUGGCCGAGAGGCCUGGGUAAUCUUGUAAACGUUCAUCGUGAUGGGGAUAGAUUCUUGCAAUUAUUAAUCUUCAACGAGGAAUUCCUAGUAAACGCAAGUCAUCAGCUUGCAUUGAUUACGUCCCUGCCCUUUGUACACACCGCCCGU
rnacentral:rRNA from 1 species